AAUCCAAACUAGGCAAUUGCUGCUCUUUAUAUUGAAAGAGUAGAGGAAAGUCCGAACUCCGGAGAACAGGGUGCCGGGUAACACCCGGGAGCCGUAAUUUUAUUACGGUUACGGAAAGUGCAACAGAAAAUAUACCGUCCCUUUAUUGGGAUAAGGGUGAAAAGGCAGGGUAAGAGCCUACCGCACUGUUGGUAACAAUGGUGGUCCUUUAAAAAAGGAGUCCUUUUUAGGAUCAGUGUAAACCCCACUCGGAGCAAGGUCAAGUAAGAAAGAUUUCCUUUUAGGAAGAUGGCUGUUCGCCAUUUUAUCUUUCGGGUGGAUCGCUGGAUUCUAACAGUAAUGUUAGAACUAGAUAAAUAAUUGCAAUCCCCUUGGGGAUUACAGAAUUCGGCUUAUAGGUUUGGAUUAAUA
rnacentral:RNase_P_RNA from 1 species